rnacentral:misc_RNA from 1 species
GAUGAAGAACGUAGUGAAAUGCGAUAACUAGUGUGAAUUGCAGAAUUCCGUGAAUCAUCGAGUCUUUGAACGCACAUUGCGCCCCCUGGUAUUCCGGGGGGCAUGCCUGUCCGAGCGUCAUUGCUGCCCAUCAAGCACGGCUUGUGUGUUGGGUCGUCGUCCCCUCUCCGGGGGGGACGGGCCCCAAAGGCAGCGGCGGCACCGCGUCCGAUCCUCGAGCGUAUGGGGCUUUGUCACCCGCUCUGUAGGCCCGGCCGGCGCUUGCCGAACGCAAAUCAAUCUUUUUCCAGGUUGACCUCGGAUCAGGUAGGGAUACCCGCUGAACUUAAGCGUAUCAAUAAGCGGAGGA